rnacentral:rRNA from 2 species
GAGUAAUGUCUGGGAAACUGCCUGAUGGAGGGGGAUAACUACUGGAAACGGUGGCUAAUACCGCAUAACGUCGCAAGACCAAAGAGGGGGACCUUCGGGCCUCUUGCCAUCAGAUGUGCCCAGAUGGGAUUAGCUUGUUGGUGAGGUAACGGCUCACCAAGGCGACGAUCCCUAGCUGGUCUGAGAGGAUGACCAGCCACACUGGAACUGAGACACGGUCCAGACUCCUACGGGAGGCAGCAGUGGGGAAUAUUGCACAAUGGGCGCAAGCCUGAUGCAGCCAUGCCGCGUGUAUGAAGAAGGCCUUCGGGUUGUAAAGUACUUUCAGCGGGGAGGAAGGUGUUGUGGUUAAUAACCGCAGCAAUUGACGUUACCCGCAGAAGAAGCACCGGCUAACUCCGUGCCAGCAGCCGCGGUAAUACGGAGGGUGCAAGCGUUAAUCGGAAUUACUGGGCGUAAAGCGCACGCAGGCGGUCUGUCAAGUCGGAUGUGAAAUCCCCGGGCUCAACCUGGGAACUGCAUUCGAAACUGGCAGGCUUGAGUCUUGUAGAGGGGGGUAGAAUUCCAGGUGUAGCGGUGAAAUGCGUAGAGAUCUGGAGGAAUACCGGUGGCGAAGGCGGCCCCCUGGACAAAGACUGACGCUCAGGUGCGAAAGCGUGGGGAGCAAACAGGAUUAGAUACCCUGGUAGUCCACGCCGUAAACGAUGUCUACUUGGAGGUUGUGCCCUUGAGGCGUGGCUUCCGGAGCUAACGCGUUAAGUAGACCGCCUGGGGAGUACGGCCGCAAGGUUAAAACUCAAAUGAAUUGACGGGGGCCCGCACAAGCGGUGGAGCAUGUGGUUUAAUUCGAUGCAACGCGAAGAACCUUACCUGGUCUUGACAUCCACAGAACUUUCCAGAGAUGGACUGGUGCCUUCGGGAACUGUGAGACAGGUGCUGCAUGGCUGUCGUCAGCUCGUGUUGUGAAAUGUUGGGUUAAGUCCCGCAACGAGCGCAACCCUUAUCCUUUGUUGCCAGCGGUUAGGCCGGGAACUCAAAGGAGACUGCCAGUGAUAAACUGGAGGAAGGUGGGGAUGACGUCAAGUCAUCAUGGCCCUUACGACCAGGGCUACACACGUGCUACAAUGGCGCAUACAAAGAGAAGCGACCUCGCGAGAGCAAGCGGACCUCAUAAAGUGCGUCGUAGUCCGGAUUGGAGUCUGCAACUCGACUCCAUGAAGUCGGAAUCGCUAGUAAUCGUGGAUCAGAAUGCCACGGUGAAUACGUUCCCGGGCCUUGUACACACCGCCCGUCACACCAUGGGAGUGGGUUGCAAAAGAAGUAGGUAGCUUAACCUUCGGGAGGGCGCUUACCACUUUGUGAUUCAUGACUGGGGUGAAGUCGUAACAAGGUAACCGUAGGGGAACCUGCGGUUGGAUCACCUCCUUACCUUAAAGAAGC